UACGAGAGGUCCAAACGUUAUUCGGAAUUACUGGGCUUAAAGAGUUCGUAGGCGGCGCAACAAGUGGGGUGUGAAAGCCCUCGGCUCAACCGAGGAAUUGCGCUCCAAACUGUUGUGCUUGAGGGACCUAGAGGUGAGCGGAACUGAUGGUGGAGCGGUGAAAUGCGUUGAUAUCAUCAGGAACACCGGAGGCGAAGGCGGCUCACUGGGGGUCUUCUGACGCUGAGGAACGAAAGCCAGGGGAGCGAACGGG
rnacentral:rRNA from 1 species